rfam:Stegodyphus mimosarum contig352, whole genome shotgun sequence.
GCCUUCGUGGUUUAAUGGUCAGCACACUCGAUGCGUAUUCGGGAGGUCCAUGGUUCGAGUCCCGGCGAGGGCA